CCGCGGCGGAGUCCGGGCUGGGCCCCCUGGAAGGCGGCGGCGGCGGUGCCCCCGGGGGGGAGGGGAGCCUCCGCCCUGAUCCCGGGGAGCUGCUGAUCUGCCCUGAAAGCCUCCGGCCACGGGCCCUGAGUGCAGCUCGGGCUGGUGGAAGAGCCUUCGCCGCGCCCGUGCCUCCAGCCCCAGCCCGGCACCAGCAGGCCUGUGUCCCAGCCAGCCUCUCUGCUCUUUCCAUUUAUCAGCAUCCGUCAGCUGUGGGCAUCAGAACUGGGCACCUAUCCUCGCAGGAGUCACAGCAGUGAGAGAACCUCCCUGCUCCAGAUUCCCAUGGAUACAUCCAAGGAUUGCAUUAGCCAUUUUGGGAGUUCACGUUUACAUGAUUAUCCAUCAUGAUCCCCAGAUGUUAUUCCCCGGAUGGAGCCCCUCAGCCCAUAAUUUUUUAAUCAACAUGUCUUGCGGCACCACAUCAGAUGCCUUCCAGAAGUGGAAGUAUAUUUCAUCAAUGCUAUUAUCCUUAUCAACAAGACUUGUAACUGCAUUUAAAAAAAUGUCAUCCAGUUAAUUUGACAGGAUCUGUUUUCCAUAAACUACCUACCCUUCUGUAAUUAUUAAUCCAAUCCUGUAUCAGUUGUUUUAUUAUUCUUCCUGUGAGCAAUGUCAGGCUGACAGGCCUAUAAUUACUCUGGUCAUCCCAUUUGUUCUUUUUAUAAAUUGGCACAACACUAGCAUUCUUCUAGUCCUCUGGAACUUUCCUGUUGUUCCAAGACACAUUGAAAAUCAACAUGAAUGGUCCAACAAGCUCAUCAGCCAGCUCUUUCAAAGCUUCUCGAUGUCAGUUAUCUAAACCUGCAGAUUUUAAAAUGUCUAAUUUUAACAGCUUCUGUUAAUAUCCUCCUGAGUUGCUAUUGCAAUGGAAUUUCAUUGUCGCUGUAUUAUAUGAUUACAUAAUCUGUUUUUUGCUAAAUACAAAACAAAUAUUUACUAUUUCUGCUUUUUCUGCAUUAUUACUAACAGUUCUAACGUUUCCAUUUAGUAAUGGACCAGUACCAUUGUUAGGAUUCUGUUUGUUCCUAAUACACUUUCAGAAUGCCUUCUUAUUGUCUUUAACUUUGCUGGCCAUAUGUUUCUUCUAUGUUUGUCCUUUUGCUUCCCUUAAGAAUUGUAGAAAAUUAGUAUCUUCUGAUUUUUAUUUAUUGCAAUCAACUUCCCUGCUCUUCCAUUGCAUUGAUGUGGCUUUGUUCUCUCCUUACAUAGAUUCCAUGAGGUUAUAAUUAAUCUUCCUUUUCACUGA